ACUUCUGGCUUUCACACAAAAGACUUCCUUCACAUAACUGACAAUCCUUCAUUAAAAGUUCAAAUUUAAGCACCGAUUAGAAGCCCUCUGGGUGUAGCGACAGAACUUAUCAACUGGUAGAUUUUGUUGAAAGGUCAUUAGGAGGCACAUGGUCAUAUGCGUAAUUUCUUUUCCAAGGACAGGUCAGAUUUCUCUGCGAUAUCCUGUUUAAAGGUCUAGCAUGGCUGCUACUGUCCUGGAAGUUGGGAGCUCAGAAUUGUACUAUUAACCUUGAUGACUUUUGUUUCUUAGUCCUUACCACUUACCACCCCUGGUGCCCAGUGUGCCUGGUAUGCAUGAGUCCAAAGGCCUCUCCAGAAAGUAAACUUCUCCUCUUAUGCCAAAGUGGGAGAGGAACAGCUGUUUGGAUGCAUGGGAUGGAGAGGAAGAUCUUGAAUUCUAAACACUUUUCGUUAAAGACUUUCAACCAUGUUCCUCUACCUUCAAUGGAACAUGAUAGCUCUUGAUUCUGCAGGAAAAUCUGGCAGGAGGAAUGGGUUGGCUUCCCCACUGCGGGCUUAGUUUUCAGCCUUUUUUAGUGUGCUAAGCGAGUUAGUGUAUCAGCUAUUGUUAUAUAAAAAAUGACCCCGCGUAUUCGUGGCUUAACACAUUUAUGAGUCUAUGAGUCCAGAGUCUAUGGACCACUGCAUGAUUCUUUUGCUUCUGGCUGGGCUUCCUUAGGCAUCUGAAGUCAGGGGCAAGCCUGGAAGCCAGUUUUGCCAAUCUUGGCUGAGUUCACUCACAUACUUGCAGUCUUGCUGAACAACUGAGCUGACUUAGUUCUGGCCCACAUAUUCUCUCAUCUUUCAUCAGAUUAGCCUAGGAUUGUUCAUGGCAGAGGCAGGGGUUCCUAGACUCAGAGCAGAAACCCACAGGCAUUUUGAAGUCUAGGCUGGAACUAGUAAACUUUUACUCUGUUCCUUUCUAUUGAUCAAAGCAAAUGAUGAGGCCAGUUCACAUUCAAGAAGCAGGGAAACAGACACUACCUCUUGAUGGAAGGAUCUCCAAAGUCAUAUUUCAAUGGCACAGAUAAAGGGAGUAAAGAAGGACUGCAGUUAACUUUUGCAAUCAAUGGAUCAGUUUUUCAGCAUCCAAGAUGUUGACUUCACUUGCCAGCAGUUAUUUCUAUUUCUGUUUUCAUUGUUGUGGCUUAUGCAUCUUUAUUUCUUUAUUUAUCCACGUAUACAAACAACAUUUAUGGACCUACUAGGAUACCAGACACUGCUGGAUGUUCUGAGACUACAGACAUGAAUAAGACAGUCAAAAUUUUCCCACCUCCAACCCCAAGAGGUUUAUAUUCUAGGUAAAGGAGAUAGACAUAAACAAAAUACAUAAGUGACAAUUACAGUUUGUUCAAAGGUUACAAAUACUAUGAAGAAAAAUAAAACAGAGGAGUGGAAUAGAGACAGCUAGAUGUAUGCAUUCUUAAAUAGGAUCAUAAUUGCCAUUUUGUGAGACUUAAAGAGCAAGUAGAAAUAAAUGUGUGUAUCCAGUCUGCAAAGUUUAAUCUGAAAUUGCUCCAAUGAAAUAUCAUGCAUCCAUUAAAACUAUGCUAUGGAGACCAUUUGACUUCCAGUCAAGAUAUGUUAGACAUCUAUGCUUUAAGACACUGACCCUACUUUAAUCACACAACCGUGAUAGGUAAAAUAUAAAAAGAGAAAACAGAGACAGCCUAAACCCCUUCCAACAGAAGAUCAUCAUUUUGUGAACCAUACUCAAAAUAGAAAUACAAACCAGAAAGUACGGUGAAGAUGUAGAUGGUCUGGGACCUAAGCCAGAUUCACUGUUCAAAUCCAGGAACUGGAAUAUUGUUUCCUUUAUGGGGAGUUCCUGUUGUGGCACAGCUGAUACAAAUCCGACUAGUACCCAUGAGGACUCAGGUCCAUUCCCUGCCAUUGCUCAGUGGAUGGGGGAUCCAGCAUUGCCAUGAGCCAUGGUGUA
rnacentral:lncRNA from 1 species